rnacentral:lncRNA from 1 species
GAUGACGUCACGGUGGUUGCGAUAAAGAGUAAGGGAGAGAUGGUGACAAAAAAAAUAUAGAGAAAAAAAAUAAGAAUAAUAAAAAAUAAAAAAUAAAAAAAAUUUCUACAAAAAAGAUCAAAAAAUAUAGAAGAAGAAAGAAUAUGAUAGAAUUGUACUGUUAAAAUAAGAUUACACUAUUUUUAAAAAAAAUUACACUGUUUUAAUAAAAAUUGCACUAUUUGAUAUACAAAUUAUACUCUUUUAGAAUGAAUUUUACACUCGUUAGGGCAAAGUUGCACUCUUUAGAAAAAUUUUACAUCAUUUUUUUUCUUUUUUUUUUUUUCUCUUUCUCUUCUUCUUCUUCCUCCUCCUCCACAUCUCCUCAUCUUUCUCCUCUGUCACCACUGACACCGCCUCACUCCACUACGUCCUUCAACUUCGAGAACUCCACUAGUUUUGCGCUUUUGUAAAAGUAGGCCACUUUUUUUCAAAAAAUAUAGAAGAAGAAAGAAUAUGAUAAAAUUACACUAUUAAAAUAAGAUUACACUGUUUUUAAAAAAAUUUAUACUGUUUUAAUAAAAAUUGCACUAUUUGAUAUACAAAUUACUCUCUUUUAGAAUAAAUUUUACACUCCUUAGACCAAAGUUGCACUCUUUAGAAAAAUUUUGUAUCAUUUUUUUCCUUUUCUUUUUCUCUUUCUCUUCUUCUUCUUCCUCCUCCUCCUCCGCAUCUCCUUCUCUUUCUCCUCUGUCACCACCGACACCGCCUCACUCCACUACGUCCUUCAACUUCGAGAUCUCCACUAGUUUUACGCUUUUGCAAGAGUGGGCCACUUUUUCGAUUUUGCAGAUUCGGACCGAAUUUUUAGCAAACUGAUCAAAAUAUCCUUAUUAUUUUUUCUCUCUCCUCUUUUUUUUCUCUCGUUCUUUUUUUCUCUCUCAUCUUUUCGACAAUUAACUUAUUUAUGAGAGCGGAAAGAGCAAGACUAGUUGUACACCUUUAAAGGGUAAAAAAUAUAUACCCCACCCCACUAGUCAUAUUGAUAUGACUAGUAAAAUACAUCACAUUCUUGGAUAGAUGAGGUGUACAUCCUACACUCCUUUUUAGGUGUACAAUUAGAAUUUCUCAUACGGAAAGGCCAUUUCAACUCAUAAUGGCUAAGUUUCCCAUAUUAUUUUUUAGGAAUAAUUGCCUAUAUUCCUCUCAAAAUUUUUGAAAAUCUUAUUUAUCUCUCUCUUUAAUAUACUCGUAUAUUUCUUUAUUAUUUAAAAAUAUCUUUUUUGUUAGUGCAUACUAAGUCAUCUCGAAUUAAACCUGUAUUAAGUUUCUACAAUAGUUAAAAAAUAGUAAAAUAUACCUAUUUUUUCCCUAACUUAAGGCAAAUAAGAAAAGAGACAAAUAAGAAAGUUAGUAAUGGUAGAACUGUAUAUUUGAAAGGGUAAAAUAAUAAUUUAACAGAAAUAAUAGUAGUUGCUAACAGUUUACUAAUAGAAUUUAACUUUAGAAAUAUAUUUGAAAAAACUUAAAAUCUUAAAAGGAUAUUUUUAAUAUUAGUCUUUUAAGAGAGAUAAAUAAGAAAGUCGAGAACUUUUCAGAGAUAUAUAAGUAAUUGUCCAUAUUUUUUCUACAAUUUAAAAUAAAAAGCUAUAAUUCUUAUUUUUUAACAUUUAUUU